GACGUAGGGCGCGAGCGUUGUCCGGAUUUAUUGGGCGUAAAGAGCUCGUAGGCGGCUUGUCGCGUCGACUGUGAAAUCCCGCGGCUCAACCGCGGGUCUGCAGUCGAUACGGGCAGGCUAGAGUUCGGUAGGGGAGACUGGAAUUCCUGGUGUAGCGGUGAAAUGCGCAGAUAUCAGGAGGAACACCGAUGGCGGAGGCAGGUCUCUGGGCCGAUACUGACGCUGAGGAGCGAAAGCGUGGGGAGCGAACAGG
rnacentral:rRNA from 1 species